rnacentral:rRNA from 1 species
GUAAGGGAUAUUGCACAAUGGACGCAAGUCUGAUGCAGCAACGCCGCGUGCCCGAUGGAGGCCUUCGGGUCGUAAAGGGCUUUUCUGGCUGACGAUGAUGACUGUAAGCCAGGAAUAAGUGUCGGCUAACUACGUGCCAGCAGCCGCGGUAAAACGUAGGACGCAAGCGUUAUCCGGAGUUACUGGGCGUAAAGCGCGGGCAGGCGGUCUGACAAGUCUGAUGUGAAAUCACCCAGCUUAACUGGGCGAGGCCAUUGGAAACUGACAGGCUGGAGGGCAGUAGAGGCAGGCGGAAUUCCGGGUGGAGUGGUGAAAUGCGUAGAGAUCCGGAGGAACACCAGAGGCGAAGGCGGCCUGCUGGGCUGCACCUGACGCUGAGCCGCGAAAGCCAGGGGAGCGAACGGGAUUAGAAACCCUAGUAGUCC